rnacentral:lncRNA from 1 species
UGCAACGAAGAAUCAGAAUGGCCACAUGAAGUAAUCCUAAGUGACACUAGCCUGAUAUAGAUCCCUUUCAAUGCAGUUCCUGCCUUCCAGGUGAGACACAGUCCUCAACUCUGCAGAUACCUACAGACAGUAUCCCCUUUGCCAUGUUUGACCUUCCCUGUUUCCAACCCUAACAUGAUGGUUUGUGUUUGUCUUUUGUGUAAGAAGGUAGUUGGUGUUUUUUUGUUUAUAAGAAUUAUUUCGGAAUUCCUUCCCUGAUAAACUGCUGAUAGACUGGGACCAGAUCAGAUAAGGUUUGGUGUUGAGGACACCUGUCAAUUGUUUUGUCAAGAUAGAAGGUCCAAGACACAGAGGUGGCUGGAGUGCGGAGACCAAAUGGCCCGAGGUGGACAGGAGGCUGUGGGAAUACCAGUUUGGGGCUUUGUCUGUUCACGCAGCUCUUGGGAGACAGAGGUGAGACCCAAGAGAGAACUUCUGUGGUUCAGAGAAGGCACCUCACCUGUAGGGGGUUAGCUGUUUGUCUAGGGUGGUCCCACGAAUCACCCAGCCACAUCAAACUCACAGAGCAGUGACGUGGUCAUUUUUUACCUCACAAUAGCACGGAUAUAAUGCAACAGAAAAAGACUUGCAAUAAAAUAAUACAUUUUCUAAACGGAAGGUGGGGAUGGUGUAAGGUAAGUUAAAACACCAUACAGCUCUUUUAGCAGGUUUUUUGUGGUUUUUUGUUUGUUUGUUUUCUAGAAGGAAGGGAACAAGAUUCCCCGGGUACUCAGAGGGCAGGCGAACGAUGAAUUUCAUAUAUUCCCCACCUCUAACGUAAGAUGGAGACAAAGUUUGCCAAGUUUUGUAAUGACUUAUUUGGAGCAGUGAUUGAUGAAAAAAUAUUGUAAAGUAGAAAUACAGUAUCACAGAAGAUUAUAGGACCUAUCACGAGACCAUAUAAUUAUAUAUCCUCAUAUAUCUUAUGUGUGAAACUUUUGUGCCUAUUUUAACAGUGUUUUACAAGCUUACCGUAUUAGAACAGGCCCCUGCUCCCUGCUCUGAAGGCAUACAAAUUCACGGUGGCCUUUUGAACGUCCUCAGUCCCAACUGCACCAUCAGAAUUUGUAAAAGCAGCAAAAGGUCAGAGUUCGGAGGGCAGUUUGUAUCUCGUGCAGGAAACUGGCAGGUGGCCUUUAGUGAGCCAGUGGCUCUGAUUCAUGUGGUCAGAUUCUGAGCUGGCAGACACAAGGACAAGCCCGCGAGAGGUGUGGCAGGACUGGACAUUCUAUGUAGGUCUGUGUGUGACGGUUUUGUGAAUGCAUCUAUUUGAUGUUCUCCAAACCAAUUCUAAAUGAAGCAGGACGCAGCCAAAUUGAAAGGAGCUUGUUCUUGAUACCUUUUAUGGACUGAAUUGUUUUCUCCCAAAAAGGUACGUUGAAGUCCCUCAGUAUGCGAACUUAUUUGGAGGAAUAGGAUCUUAAAGAAGUAAUCGGGUUAAAAUCAUGUCAUUCAAGUGGGCCCUAAUCCAAUAUAAUCGAUGUCCUUAUUAGAAGGCUAAAUUUGAACAGAGACAGAUGUGCAUAGAGAGAAGCCGGUGGGAAGAGACACAGAGAGAAGGCAACCAUCCAUCUGGAACAGAGCUUCCCUUAUAGACCUCAGAAGGAACCAGCUCUGAUACCCUGGUUUUGGGCUUCCAGACUCCAGAACUGUGAUACCAUAAAUUCUCGUUAUUUAAGGCUCACCAGUCUGCCAGGCUUUGCUAUGGCGUCCUGAGGAAGCGAGUGUGAAACUUAAUUCAUCAGUGCCAAAAACAUCUUGGCAGUUAAACUGCUGUUGUAAUACUCGUGUAUUGAUACGUGGUUCAGAAUUUUUCUGCGGUCUUCCUCAGUAUGUAUGUACAGCAAAAGCUUCAGAGAGAAACUCCAGGCCACGCAAACUCAUGAACUAAACUCGGGAGAGGUGGCUGGUGAUGACCUGGAAGGGAAAGAUGAGUGUCUGGCACAGGACGGGACCGACAGAAGGCGGUUGUGUGGUAG